rnacentral:rRNA from 1 species
GACGAACCGUGCGAACGUUGUUCGGAAUCACUGGGCUUAAAGGGCGCGUAGGCGGGCUUAAAAGUCAGGGGUGAAAUCCCGCGGCUCAACCGUGGAAGUGCCUCUGAUACUGUAAGCCUCGAGGGAGGUAGGGGCGUGCGGAACUUCCGGUGGAGCGGUGAAAUGCGUAGAUAUCGGAAGGAACACCGGUGGCGAAAGCGGCGCGCUGGACCUCUUCUGACGCUGAGGCGCGAAAGCUAGGGGAGCGAACGGGG